AUUAUACUCCCUCCGUCCCAAAAUUCUUGUCUUAGAUUUAUCUAGAUAUAAAUGUAUCUAGUCAUGUUUUAGUAUUUAGAUACAUUCAUUUCUAAAUAAACAUAAGGUACGAAUUUUGGGACGGAGGGAGUAGAUC
rfam:Hordeum vulgare subsp. vulgare, WGS project CAJW01000000 data, contig: morex_contig_1571406